rnacentral:rRNA from 1 species
GACGGGGGAUGCAAGCGUUAUCCGGAAUGAUUGGGCGUAAAGGGUCCGCAGGUGGCCCGGUCAGUCCGCUGUCAAAGCCUGGGGGCUCAACCCUGGAGAGGCGGCGGAGACCACCGGGCUUGAGUCCGGUAGGGGCAGAGGGAAUUCCCGGUGGAGCGGUGAAAUGCGUAGAUAUUGGAAAGACCACCGAUGGCGAAGGCACUCUACUGGGCCACUACUGACACUGAGAGACGAAAGCUAGGGGAGCAAAUGGG